rnacentral:rRNA from 1 species
ACGAAGGGUGCAAGCGUUAAUCGGAAUUACUGGGCGUAAAGCGCGCGUAGGUGGUUUGUUAAGUUGGAAGUGAAAGCCCCGGGCUCAACCUGGGAACUGCUUUCAAAACUGGCAAGCUAGAGUAUGGCAGAGGGUGGUGGAAUUUCCUGUGUAGCGGUGAAAUGCGUAGAUAUAGGAAGGAAUACCAGUGGCGAAGGCGACCACCUGGGCUAAUACUGACACUGAGGUGCGAAAGCGUGGGGAGCAAACAGGA